GAUCAUGGCCCAGGAUGAACGCUAGCGACAGGCCUAACACAUGCAAGUCGGAGGGGCAGCGGAGAGGUAGCAAUACCUUUGCCGGCGACCGGCGCACGGGUGAGUAACACGUAUGCAAUCCACCUGUAACAGGGGGAUAACCCGGAGAAAUCCGGACUAAUACCCCAUAAUAUGGGCUCUCCGCAUGGAGGUCCAUUAAAGAGAGCAAUUUUGGUUACAGACGAGCAUGCGCUCCAUUAG
rnacentral:rRNA from 1 species